rnacentral:lncRNA from 1 species
CAGGCAGGAGCAUAAAUUUCUUCCCAGUAAAAUCCUAAAUCCAGCAUUGGGUACUGGGAAAUAAGGAACACAGAGCUAAUAUGGGAAAAGAUUUAGAAGAGCUUCUGAAGACCUUAAAAACAGCUCUUGGAUGUUGAAAACACCACAGACCAUGUUAAAUGGAUGGUGACCUCCACUAUCAGAGGUGGCUUCCUGGGAAGCCACUCACCCUUUACUGAGCGCUUUUUCCAUCCCCAACCCAGCCUCGGCAAGGCCAGAUGGAACCAAAGCAAUUGCUAGUAAGUCAAUACAUCUGGCGACAUUCCUGAAACGACAAAUCUGAUGGAGCAACAUCCAGCCCCUACACAAAGCCUCUUUUCAGAACAUUUUCAUCGGUACUUGUCUGCCAUAAGCAGAACCUAAUGUGUGAAAACAAAAUAAAAUUGAGCUCUUUCACCGCCC